ensembl:lncRNA SLC1A2-AS2 SLC1A2 antisense RNA 2
GGGAGCGGUAUUUAAGAGGAGCCUCUGCCCGCCCUUCCACCCGCCUCCGGGACGAUCUUCGGAUUUGCGCUGUGCUGGACCUUGUUAGACGAUGGAACGCGACCGGCCACGUGCAAACUCUCUGAGUAGGUCCCGGGGAUGGUGCCAGAGGAGCCGGAGUCCCAGCAGGACCGAUUGGUAGUUAAAUGCCAGGCGCUGAUAUCCGAAGGCUUGAGUUCUUCACCACCUUCUAGCUGAGUAACCUGGGGCAAAUUCCUCCAUCUCUCUCUUCAUCCCACCUGUAAAAUGGGACUAUCUUCUCCCACUUCUCUGUGCUAAGAGAACUAAAUGAAAUGGAGAGGAUAUGUAAAACUCCUAAAGUGGCGUCUGGCACCCAGUAAACCCUCCAAAAAUAUUCAGUGCAUUUUCAGAGUCCUUAGAAGAUAGUUUAUUGGACAAAAUAUCCAAGUAUGAACAGACAGAUGAGAAAAAUAACAAGAAAAAGAGGGGAAAACACAUUAAUAAAAUUUAAAAAAUAA